CGCGCAUGCGGCCAGGGCCGACAGGCAGCAGCAGUA
rnacentral:SRP_RNA from 14 species